rnacentral:rRNA from 1 species
UACGGAGGGUGCGAGCGUUGUCCGGAAUCACUGGGCGUAAAGGGCGCGUAGGCGGCUUUGUAAGUUAGAGGUGAAAGCCCGGGGCUCAACUCCGGAAUUGCCUUUAAGACUGCAUCGCUAGAAUUGUGGAGAGGUAAGUGGAAUUCCGAGUGUAGAGGUGAAAUUCGUAGAUAUUCGGAAGAACACCAGUGGCGAAGGCGACUUACUGGACACAUAUUGACGCUGAGGUGCGAAAGCGUGGGGAGCAAACAGG